rnacentral:rRNA from 1 species
CCUACGGGAGGCAGCAGUAAGGAAUCUUCCACAAUGGACGAAAGUCUGAUGGAGCAACGCCGCGUGCAGGAUGAAGGCUUUCGGGUCGUAAACUGCUUUUAUAUGGGAAGAUUAUGACGGUACCAUAUGAAUAAGGACCGGCUAACUACGUGCCAGCAGCCGCGGUAAUACGUAGGGUCCAAGCGAUAUCCGGAAUUACUGGGCGUAAAGCGUGUGUAGGUGGAUUAAUAAGUGUGAUGCGAAAUCCGGCGGCUCAACCGUUUGGACUGUGUCGCAUACUGUUAGUCUAGAGGACGGCAGAGGUAAGUGGAAUUACGGGUGUAGCAGUGAAAUGCGUAGAUAUCCGUAGGAACACCAAUGGCGAAGGCAGCUUACUGGGCCACACCUGACACUGAGACACGAAAGCGUGGGGAGCGAACAGGAUUAGAUACCCUGGUAGUCCACGCCGUAAACCGAUGCAUACUAUUAGUAUGGGGUAAUCGACCCCCUGUGCUGAGAAGCUAACGCGAUAAGUAUGCCGCCNGGGGAGUACGAGCGCAAGCUUAAACUCAAAGGAAUUGACGG